rnacentral:rRNA from 1 species
AACGAACGCUGGCGGCGUGCCUAACACAUGCAAGUCGAACGGAAUUAGAGAGCUUGCUCUUUAAUUUAGUGGCGCACGGGUGAGUAACGCGUAGAUAAUCUGCCUGACGAUCUGGGAUAACACUUCGAAAGAGGUGCUAAUACCGGAUAAGCCCACGGGUUCUUUGGAAUCUGCGGGAAAAGGGUGGGACCUUCGGGCCUUCUGUCGUCAGAUGAGUCGGCGUACCAUUAGCUAGUUGGUAGGGUAGAGGCCUACCAAGGCGACGAUGGUUUGCUUGUCUGAGAGGAUGAGCAGCCACACGGGAACUGACAACCGCUCCCGACUACUACGGGAGGCAGCAGUGGGGAAUUUUGCGCAAUGGGCGAAAGCCUGAAGCAGCAAAGCCGCGUGAGUGAUGAAGGCUUUCGGGUCGUAAAGCUCUGUCAAUGGGAAAGAAGUGUAUUUGGGUUAAUAUCCUUAAUACUUGACGGUACCCAUAAAGGAAGCACCGGCUAACUCCGUGCCAGCCGCCGCCGUAAUAC